rnacentral:lncRNA from 1 species
GAAAAGUAAAUUCACUUGGCUGUCCCACAUCUCUAAGGAACCUGAUGCAUGAGUGGAGUAGAGAAGAGGAAGAGAGAAAAACUCCAGAGACCUACAGAUCAUCUGGCUGGCAGGGUCAAGUUUUCUUUGGAUUGAGGUGGAACUGUGGCUCAUGGACAUCUGAUGUGAUAGCAGUAUCUCGUCCUGUGAAGCAACAUUCUAAGCUAGCUGAUCAUCAUCCAGGAGGCAGUCCUUGCUAUUCUUCCUACUU